CUCACGUUUAUUCAUAGAAAAUGAAGCAAAUGCUCCAUAUUUUAGAAGUAUGAGCAAAUGCUCAACUUUAUUCAUAUGGCCCUAUAUAAUAUCAUUUUAAAUUUCGAAAUCAUAAUAUUUUCAGUAUUGGUUUUCUAUUCUAAUUGACAGGCUUCAUCAACAAUUCAUUCAAAAGAAACUUUUUCCAUUCUUUCCAAAAAAUAUUGGCAGUUCAUGAAUAUUCACUAUUGUACGAGAGAAUCAAAAUUCUCUUGAUCGAGAGAAUCGAUCAACAAAUUUUUCAAUAAUUGAGAAGCAUACUGUCUCUAUUGUCACAUCUAUUCAAAUUCAUAAAGUGUUUUAUUGAUAUAGGUAUGCUUGAUUUUUUCCAGAUUAUAAUCAACUUUUACUUAUUCAGUAGGCUUAUUUAUCUUGAAUGAUUUGCACAUCAUUCGCAGAAAAAUACUGAUGAAUACGAAAGUGUAUAAUUCACUAUCAUCGUUCACCUUACUAAUGUUAUUGAAUUGAGAACUAGUUUAUGUAGAGAGAUUACUCAGCAUUAUCAAACAGGAGAUACCAGUGCAACCAGUGUGGGAAAAGUUAUAAAGAAAAGAAAAGUUUGAAUAAACAUCAGAAGUAUGAGUGUGGCAUUGAACCGCAAUUCCAAUGUCCCUAUUGUCCUCAUCGGACCAAACAGAAAGGCCAUCUAAAAGCUCACAUUGGUGUCAUACAUGGCCCAAAUUUCAUUUAGAAUCUUUUUAACUAUAAUAUAAUACCUAAAUCUUUAUCAAAUAUGAAUUACUUGUCCUUACCAAUCUUAGUUUUAAAGAGAUUAAGAUAUUGGUAAUGGCCAAAAUUUCAAUUAGAGUCUUCGAAAUAUUCACGACUUUUCUAUUAAAUGUUAAUUCUUUUCCCAUUGAUAAUUUGUUUGUCCAUUUUUUAUCGGUGGAAAAUAUAGUUGAAUUGAAUUGAUUCAUUCACUUCACCAUUUAUCAAACAAUGCGAUUUUCUAGAUUAUGAUUCUAUGUGUUAAUGUUCAUCCACCAUCUCAUCACUGAACAAAAUUGAAUAGAAAUUCCAAUUUGAAUUUAUUUCCCUAGUGAAUAUUAAUUCUGUGUGAUAAAUUUUAUCCGAAGUGAAAAAAUAGAAAUAACUUGAGUUUUUGAGCGACAAUAAUAUUUCUUCCUGCUGGUAUUUGCAGACCAUGAAGUUAAGAGAACGACUUCCAUAAAUGUUUUGAAGAAAAGUUUAUUUGGUUGAAGUCUGCUUUCUCCAUAUACUUCAGUUGUUCCAAUAUAUUUCAUUCUCAUUUCUUGUGAAAUUUAGAGCAUCCAUUGUCUUUGUUAUUGUCAGUAUAAAUAUGCUACGCCCACAAA